UCCUUAGCUCAGCUGGUAGAACACAAGAUUAUUAAUCUCAGGGCCAUGGGUUCGAGCUCUACAUUGGGCAAAA